AUGGACUCUUCCUCUACUGCCUCCGCCUCCGCCCCUGCUCCGGCUGCCUCCACCCACAGCAGCGAUAGCGGGGGGCCCGCCGCUGCCCUGUCGGCAGCGGUCGCCACGGCAUCCCGGCGGUUUCAGCACCUGCUGGACCGGUCAACUCCGUACGUGGGCCGCCGUUGGCUGGGCCUCGCUGGGGUAGUGUUGGUGUACGCGCUGCGCGCGUGGUUCGUCGGCGGCUACUACAUCGUGACCUAUGCCCUCGGCAUCUACCUCCUCAACCUCCUCAUCGCCUUCCUGUCGCCUCAGGUCGACCCCGAGCUCGCCGAGGGGCCCGCGCUCCCCACGCGCUCCUCGGAUGAGUUCCGUCCUUUCGUCCGCCGCCUGCCCGAGUUCAAGUUCUGGUAUUCUAUAGUUAAAGCAUUCUGCAUUGCUUUUGGCAUGACAUUCUUCAGUGUGUUCGAUGUGCCAGUGUUUUGGCCUAUCCUUCUUUUCUAUUGGGUGGUGUUGUUUACUGUCACAAUGAAGCGUCAGAUCCUUCACAUGGUGAAAUACAGAUAUGUUCCAUUCACCUUUGGGAAACAGGUACCUUAG
rnacentral:rRNA from 1 species